rnacentral:lncRNA from 1 species
GUGGCCGGGGCGGGGAGGCGAGGAGGAAGGUGAGCGCGCCGCGGGGGGGGGGGAGGAGAGGAAAAGACGGGGGAAUGCGCGUGCCCGCCCCCGCUGCCAGCGGCGCGCGCGCGCGCACGGCCGUUGGCCGGCCGUUAACGCCUCGUUGGGCGGGAGCGGGCUGAGGGGAGCCCCGUGGGUCUGAGGCGGGGAGGGGGCUGCGGUCCUGCUGGGCGCCCCUCUGCCCUCCUCUCCUCUCCGCUGGUGUUUAAUAAAGUGUCGCUGCUCCCCCCCCCCAGCUCCGUCCCGGCCGCCGGUGGCUGCGCUGCCUGCCGUGUUGGCGCUUUGCGAACUUGGAAAGAUGUCUGCAUUCUGCACAGUGAAAGCUGAGUCUGCAGAGUGUUUAAAGGAAAAUACUUGCAGACAACAAGUAAGAUACUGCAAGCUGAAAGAAUCCAUUGGGUUUUUGAAACAAGUAUAA